UGAGUCCCUCUCUUUCUCUCUUAUCUUUAGUUCGUGUUGUGGAUCCAAAUGUGAAAGGAAAAAAAAUGGAAAAAGAAGAAACAAAAUAAAGCUGCAGUAGAUAAUCACCUUUGAAAAUAUUCUUUGGUUGUUUUCUAUUGAUUUUUGUGUGUAUUUUGUAUACAAUCCGUAACCUAUUUCUCUGACAAAAAAGAACAAAACCACCCCUUUUUACCAUGAAAGAUUGAAGGCUUUAAAGCCAAAACAAUACAGUUUCUGCCUAUUUCUUUGCUCAAAUUGCAGGUACUAUAUGUCGUGGAGGAGUGCAUGAUCGUGAGGCGUAGAUGUGCGAGCUAGGGGUCGUGCGUGGGCGUGCCGACGUGCGUGGUGGAGAGGCGCAGAACGUGGGGGCUGUGGCGCAAGGAGAAAGAAGGGUUUGUUGUUUCUGAAAAAAAUUGGGACAUUGGCCUUAUGUAGUUGGGUAUUGGGCCAUUGUAAAAUUUUAGGCCUUGGAUUUAUUUUGUAUGUUUUGGGUUUUUUGGGCCCGGGUAAAAAUUAGGCCCUGCAGUUGCCCCUCUUUGCUCAUUGUCGUGUAACGAGAAUAGAGCAAAGACUUUAAAAGGGCCAAUUUUACCCAGUCUUUGCCGAGUCUUGACUUCUUGAUGCUUCCUUUCUUCAAGUAGCCUCGCUUUAACCCAUUGCAUCUCUAGGGGUAUAAGGAUUUUCGUUUUAAUUUGCUCCGCUAUUACUUAGGGAGAUAUGAUUUGUAAUCUUCAGCUUGUUACCUUACUGCUUAGGGGGUUAAAGCUUACCGUCUUCGAUCUGCUCCACUACUGCUUAGGAAGAUAAGAUCUGUAAUUUCUAGCCUAUUACCCUAUUACUUAGGGGGUUAAGGCUCACCGUCUUCGAUCUGCUCCACUACUGCUUAAGGAGAUAAGAUCUGUAAUUUCUAGCCUGUUACCCUACUGCUUAAGGGGUUAAGGCUCACUGUCUUCAAUCCGCUCCACUACUGCUUAGGGAGAUAAGAUUUGUAAUCUUUAGCCUGUUACCGUACUGCUUAAAGGGUUAAGGCUCACUGUUUUAGAUCCACUCCACUACUGUUUAGGGGAGAUCUGUAUUUUCCAGCCUGCUACCCUACUGCUUAGGGGGUUAAGGCUCGUAUCUUCAACCUGCUCUCUUGCUACCUCAGAGAGAUAAGGCCGGUGGCUAAAAUCUGCUCCAUAGCCGAUACAUGGAGAUAAGACUCGCCAUUUUUGAUCUGCUUCAUAGUCCAUACAUGGAGAUAAGACCUAUAGUUUUCAACCUGUUACCCUACUGCUUAGGGGGUUAAAGCUUGUAUCUUCAACCUGCUGUCUUGCUACCUCAGAGAGAUAAGGCCGGUAGCUAAAAUAUGCUCCAUAACCAAUACAUAGAGAUAAGACUCGCCAUUUUCGAUCUACUCUAUAGCCGAUACAUGGAGAUAAGAUUUGUAGUUUUCAGCUUGUUGCUCUACUGCUUAGGUUGGUAAAGCUUGUAUCUUCAACAUGCUCUCUUGCUACCUCAGAGAUAUAAGGCCGGUGGCUGAAAUCUGCUCCAUAGCCGAUACAUGGAGAUAAGACUCACCAUUUUUGAUCUGCUCCAUAGUCGAUACAUGGAGAUAAGAUCUGUAGUUUUCAUCCUGUUACCCUACUGCUUAGGGGGUUAAGGCUUGUGAAUUUACCGAUGCCACUGCCUCUGAGGAACAUGAUCUGUAAAAUCGAUUUCAUGUAUUUAUACUUAUGCCAAAUAAUUAAGAUGCUAUGAUUGAAAUGAAUAGAAUGCUCCUAACUAGAUGUGAUGCUUUUGUCAAAUAAUUAGGAUGAUAUGAUUGAAAUGAAUCAGAUUCCCCUAAUCAAAUACGAUAUGGAUGAUAUGAAUGUAAAAAUGUCAUGAGAAUGAUUUCUUUUUUAAAAGCUUAAAGUAUCAUCACUCGUUAUUCAUCAGAGUUUUAUCACUAUUGUAUUAUGCUGCCUACUUGCUCGGCUAGCAUUUUCCAAUAGAAAACCUAUAGAACAACCCAUUUUGCUCAGCUGGCUUGUCCCAUUGUAACCUCGGGGUCCAUUUCACUGUACUGCUAGGACCCAAGGUUUGUACCAUCUUCAAACCCUCUCCUACAACCCAAAAGUAUAGGAUCUGAAUCUUUCCAUUAAUUUGGUCUAUUACACCAUCCCCUAGGUGUCAUGAUCAAAUGUGUACACCUGAUAUUUGCAUGAAUGAGGAAUAUAACUUUUUUUCUCGAGAAUGAUCCCUUUUUAUGCUUGGGUUGAUCAUUAUUUGUCGAGGCUGUAUCACCAAUGCAAUAUCUUGUCUCUUUGUUCAACUGGUAUCUUUGAUCAAAAAAACUGAAGAGAUAGUCAUAAUUUAGACUCAUCUUUCUCAAACAUUCCCAACCUUUAGGCUUGGUAAGUUCUAAACAAUAAUCCUAUUUUAGGUUCCUGUACCAUUUAGAAACUUUCAGAGUAAUACGCAGAACCUCUUUUGUGAAGGUAUUAUUAGUCCAUUAAUCAUUAUUUCAAUGCAAAAUGCUUGAAAAAGAUCAUAACAAUGGAUAAGAGAGAAAAUAACUGGGAGCAUAGCUCAAAAGAUAGCAAACGUAAUAAGAAGGAAAUUUAUUGAAACGUAUCAAAGAUAGCAAAUUUAACAUGGACAAAAUGGAAAACUAGAUGCCCCAGAUAUCGCAGCUUGAGCUUCUUUGUACCAUUUUGAGCUCAAUUUAUGCUUAGCGAAUCCGGAGUACUUCGUCGAUGCCCCAAGACGUAGCAUACUUCUUCAUUGUUAAUUCAGACAUAGCAAGACUAUUGUAUGCCCCACUCUGAUCCAAAUUUGAGCCACCCUUUUUUAGGUUUCAACUCAAAUCCCCUUUGGUCUCAAGGCACCUUUUGCGAGUUUUCACCUUGACCUCUCUUGUUUCUUUUUCUUUUCUUUUGUAUUUUUUUUGAAACUGUUAACUGUGACUGAAAUUGAGUUCACCGAAUUGGGCAGGUCCUUGCCAUCCAUCUUGGACAAUAUCAAUGCUCCUCUAGAACAGGCCUUCUUUACUACCUAAGGUCCUUUCUAGUUUGGCAUCCACUUUCCUCUAAAGUCCUUUUGUAUAAAAAGGAUCUUUUUCAAUGCUAAGUCCCCAAUUCUCUAAAAUAAACCCCCCUUUUGUUGCAAGCCUGCAUCAUCUGACCGUGACGGAUAUCCUUCAAAUUCGACUGAUCAUAUUAGGAUUGGAUCUAUUCUAUCUCAUCCAACUUUUAGUUCUGGCAAGACUUGGGAAAAAAAUAAUGGAUAAAACGCUUCCAAACGAAUGAGAAAGGCGUUGCCCCGAUGAAGGUCUUAACCGACGGUAGAUAAGAAUAGAGGAUAAAUGGUAACUUGUUUAUGUCAAUCUUUACAAGUCUCAGUCACCUUCCACAAUCUUUUUUGUUGUUUUUGUUUUUGUUUUUUCUUUAUUUUUUGUUUCUUUCUUUUUGGCUGCCUUUGCUGCACUGUGAUAUGGGUCUGAUCUUUAAACAGACUGCAAUCUUUUGACAUUGUGCAGUUGUAUUAGACAUGAUCUUUUCUAAUAUUACCUGUCGGUGCUCCUUUUUUAUGACUAUUGACCUUGUAACAUUGGCAUAUGAAGCGAUCUUCACCCUUUUCAUGAAGACAUCGACGACUACCAAGAUGAGUCGGUGUAUAUUAGAUGAGAAUGUCUUGAUAACAUCUAUGCCCCACAUAUAGAAAAUCUGUGAAGAAAUGGAGAUGGCACAUAAGCCUUAUCUUCUUCCAUUUGGCAUUUACAGUAUAAUUGAUACAAUCCCCUUCUAUGGUGGAUCAGCAGUACCCAAACCUCAUGAUUAACCUGGCUAAUGCGAAACCCCUAGCAUGGGUCUUUCGAGCACCCUAUAGCAUUCUUACGUUUUAAUAGCCUUGGCAUAUCUUGAUGUGAUCAUGCGAAAACCUCUUUGAAUUGGGAAUAACCUAAUGAUGUCUCGCUUUGUCUUUGUGGUAAGCUAGGCUUCGACUUUCAUCUCUUUCCUAGGCUCGCAAUGUCCACUGACCCUUAGUAUAGGAUCUGUUUUUCAUCUUGUUCUACUAUUCUUAACAAAUCAGGAUAUAGGCUACAACCUCUGUCAUCUUCAAAGUCUUGAAGUCCGCUUAAACACAUAUCUCACCCCAAAAGGGAGUCAGUUACAGUAUUGCUCAUGUUAUUGAUAUCUGGGGACCUAUUGUAGGUACAAAUACAUAUUUCCAAAUAAUAAAUGAUUCUAAGGAUGAUUAUUUGUAUGGCAUGAUUAUGAAUGAAAUGAUAGAAUAAAAUAAUAUUUGCUCUGAAUGAGAUACAAAAGUGCAUUUUUUAUUGAAAAUAAAGAUGCUUGAGCAUGAGCCUAUUUCACAAAAGAUUCUUGUCGUUUCUAGGCUUAAAACAACAAGUGUGUUUUGAACAUUACUCUGUAUUAGUUCUAAAAACUACAGGAAUUACUUCCGCAAUCCAGUUGUUCAAACACUUCCAAGCUCAUAAGAGGGAAUGCCUGAUAAGUUUCCUUCCAUCACCCCCUCUUCAGAUAUGGCGUUGAUGCUUAAAUUUUCCAUCAUAUCUUCAGCUAUCGCGUUCACCCCAUUGUCAGUAUGAUUGGGUAACGGAUUUCCUACACCAGGUGCAUCAUCGCACUUCACAACGCCCAUAUUGAUAAGCCUUUCGACUAACCUUUUGAAAGAGAAAAAAUUCUCUAUCGAGUGUCCAACUGUUCCCGUAUGGUAUUCACAUUGAGUACUUACGUCGUACCAUUUGGGAUAUGGGGGCUGCAACGGUUUUAAGUAGACAGGGGCUACAACGUGUGCAUCAAAUAGACUUUUUGGAAUGAGAGUAAACCGAAGCUUCUCUAUGCUUUGUUUGGUAUUGAGCUCCUGUGUUGGCGAGGCUUGCUAACCCGUGGCUACCGUUUUUGGUUGAUUUACCGUGAUCAACUUUACAUGACCCCUGCUCAGAUUGUCGACCUUAUUUUCUCUCUUUUUUUGAGCCGACCUCCUGGUGUUUUCCCCAACUUCUAUCUUCUUACAUCUUAUCACGUUCUCUAUCAUUUCACCGGACAUCACUAUAUCCGCAAAGCUCUUAGUUGCGUUGCCUAGCAUGUGAUUAAUGAAGGGUGCUUUUAAGGUAUUAAUGAAGAACAUGGUUGUUUCUUUUUCCAGCAGUGGUGGUUAAACUUGUAUAGCAACUUCCCUCCACCUCUGGGCAUAUUGCCUGAAAUUUUCACUCGAUCUUUUCUCCAUAUUCUGUAACGUGAUCCUGUCAGAUGCUAUGUCCGUCACAUGGACAUACUGCUUCAUGAAGGCCUGUGCUAAGUCCCUCCAUGAUUUGAUUUGGGUGAGAUUCAGCUGAUUGUACCAUUUGGCCGCAGCCCCAAUCAAACCGUCCUGGAAACAGUGAACUAGUAACUGAUCAUUAUUGUCAUGACCAGUCAUCCUCCAACAAAACAUAGUGAUGUGGGCCUCAGGGCAGCUGGUUUCGUUGUAUUUCUCAAACUCCGACAUUUUGAACUUUGGAGGGAGCACUAGAUCCGGAACCAAACUUAAUUCCUUAACAUCCAUACCACACUGAUAAUCUGCGCUUCCAGCGCAUUGAACUUCUCUUCCAGCCAUUUGUAUCAGUCCUCCAGCUGCUUUGGGAGUUCUCCUUUUGCCCUUUCUACUUCGGCCAUGUUAUCCAGAUUAGGGACACCAAGAUUUGCCGGAUUGUCUCCGGUGCCUAAACCUGUCAGGAAAUACGUCAAUGCCAAAUGCCAGCUUGAUGCUGUGGACUGAUAUUGACAGACACCCUAGGUACAUAUGCGUUGGGCUACACUGUAACACCCCUAACCCGUCUCCGUCGCCGAAUCAGGGUUACGAGGCAUUACGAAACCAAGCUCACAUAAACAUAACUUUAAUAUCUAAUUCCAAAUGCAAGUCCAAUUCAUGAACAUAUAUAAUCAAAUUCAAGCAUGGAAACUAAACUCUUUUCACAUUGCUAUUUACACAAUAGGAUUCAAAACUAACCAAAACAUUAUCAAGCCUAUACAUGCCAUAAGAUCGAGUUCAAAUAUUUAACAAACUACCAAAAGAAGUUGAUAGUGUGAUGGACUGUGCUGAUGAUCCCCGAGCUCGUAACGCGUCUCCAAAUCUAUAAAAACGAAUGAACGAAAGCAAACGAAGUAAGCUUUUAUAGCUUAGUAAGUCUCCAGCAUAACUAAAUGUAUAAUUAUAAACACAUAAUUAUUAUAACCUUUUUAAUCUAUUCUACUGAAAUUUUAACUAACACAACCAACUAACAUUCAUACAUUAUUCUACUCAGACCAUUUCAUUUAUAGUCAGAUAUGUAUACCUGUCGGAUGAAUUCAGUUUAAUAUAUAUAUUAUACAAAACAACAUUACAAUUGAAUGUAUACCACCGAGCAUAUAUAUACAUAUUAUAUACAUAUCAAACCGAUUGUAUAUGUACACUCAUGGUAAGUUCUAAAUCAAUUCAAAUCUAACACAAAUAUAUAUACAUCAAUCACAUCUUAUAUUUGUUUGUAUAUAAAUAUACUCAUUAUGAAUUUAUACCUGAAUACCUAGGUAACACAUACAUUCGAAAUAUACACAUAUAUAUAUCUCAAAUGCAUACAUGAUUAAUUAUCAAACACAUAGGCUCAACAUAUAUAUGUUUAACUACCACAUAUCACCAUAUGCAUUUAUAAAUUCAGCAAUCACAUAUAUCUAAUGUACAUAUGUAUUCAUCGAUUUCAUAAAAUCACAAAUCAUAGAUAUAUCCAUUGCAUAUUCUAACACAAUUUAAACAGAUUCACCGGCAUUUUGCCUGCUAGGCUUAAAGCUUGAUUCAGUACACCGGCACUUAGCCUGCUAGACAUAUAGUCUGAAAUGUAUCACCGGCAUUAAGCCUGCUAGACAUAUAGUCUGAAAUGUAUCACCGGCAUUAAGCCUGCUAGACUUAAAGUCUGAAAUGUAUCACCGGCAUUAAGCCUGCUAGACUUAAAGUCUGAAAUGUAUCACCGGCAUUAAGCCUGCUAGACUUAAAGUCUGAAUUACUUCACCGGCAUUAAGCCUGCUAGACGUAACGUCUGUAUUACAUUCAAUCACUUUAUAAUAAUUCAAACUAACAAUUUCAUAUCUUCACUACCAUUCAAAAACUUUUACGUGAAUAUACAUACAAAAUCGAAACUUUCACAUACAUAUAUAAUUCCAUACCAAAUUUCGAUUCAAGAAUUUAUACAUGUGCAUUUAUACAUAUUCGAAUCUACCAUAUGAAUGUAUAAUUUCAUACUCAAUUUCAAAACAAAAACUUGUACAUAUAUAAAUGCACAAUCAAUCCUCGCAUACUUAUAUAAUGACAUAACUAAAUUCAAUACACAACACAUACAUGUAUACUUGCAUGCUUAUUCGACUUUAUAUAUAUAUAUACAUACUUAUAUAAUCAUUCAAACCAUAUAUAUAUAUAUAUACCUAUAUCUUAUACAUACCUUUGAUUAAUCCAAUAAUUUAUACAAGAUCAUACUUGUAUAUUCGAACAUGUUAUAUACAAUAUCUAUAGUCCAAAGUUUAUUCAACUAUUAUACUUUAAAUUAUAGCUCAAUCAUAAGAUAAAAUUAGUAUGCAUGUAUAAAUAUUAACUUAAUAACUUUUAGUUGCUAAUAGACUUACCUCGGAUAUCAGCAAACACGAUCGACUAUUCGAUUUCCUUCGACUUCCCCCGAUCCAAAUUCGUUUUCUUCGUUCCUUGAUCUAAACAUAGUCAAAUUUAACCUUUUUAUUCAUCAAAACAUUCAUUUGAGUCCAAAAAUACAUAAAUGGGAAAAUUACCAUUUUGCCCCUAACAUUUUGCACUUUUUUGCAAUUUAGUCCUUUUUGCACAAAACACAAAAUACACAAAAUUUGCCCUUAACACACAAGGGCCGAAUAUUCAUGGUUCUCAUACAAGUCCACACAUUGCAUUUAUUUCACAUUUUAGUCCCUCAAAAAUUUAUUUUCACAAUUUAGCCCUAAAUACUCAAAUUCAUCAAAAAUCCCAAGACAAAACAUGUUAAUCUAAGACAUAUCUUCCAUUAUUCAUCAUCAAACAUCACAAAACACAAAUAUUCAUCAAUGGCAUAACUCAAAAUAUUCAUUAAAAUUAGAAAUUCAAGCAUGGGUCGGGUAGUAUUCAAAGCAACGAUCUCAAAAACGUAAAAAUUAUCAAAAACCGAAACCAAAGCAUACCUUAAUUUUGCUAUGAAAGUGCCGAAACUUAAGAAACCAUGGAUGGUUUCUUCCUUUCCAAUAUUCGGCUAACAAAGAUGAACAUAUUCAUCUUUUUAUGACUUAUUUUAGUUAUAAUAUUAUAAUUUACUUAAUGACUAAAUUAACCUUAAUUAAAUAAAUUAUAAAUUACAUAACUUAAGGGCAAUGUUGGCAUAUACCACCCACUAACUAAAUCUUGGUCUAAUUACAUCUUUAGACCUCCCACUUAAAAAGACAACUACAAAUAGGUGCUUUUAAAUUUUAACCUUUAACUUUUAUUUUACGCGAUUAAACCCUUUUAUUAAAUCGGACACUUAAACGACGAAAUUAAAACACGAAAAUUUUACACAAUCAAAUGCACACGAAAUAAACACACAAAUAAUAUUAAUAAUAUUUUUCUAAUUCAGAUUUGUGGUCCCGAAACCACUAUUCUGAUUAGGGUCAAAACCGGGUUGUUACAACUCUCCCCCCUUAGGGAUUUUCGUCCCCGAAAAUCUUACCGGUGAAUAGGUUUGGAUAACGCUCCUUCAUUGUAUCCUCUGACUCCCAAGUUGCUUCUUCAACUCCGUGUUUAUGCCACAAUACUUUAACUAACGGAAUUUUCUUAUUUCGUAAUUCCUUGAUCUCACGAGCCAGAAUGCUAAUCGGUUCUUCUUCAUAUGACAUAUCAGGGUUAAUUUCAAUCUCCGUCGGACAAAUCACAUGUGAAGGAUCAGAUCGGUAUCUACGGAGCAUCGAAACAUGAAAUACAUUGUGAAUCUUUUCUAACUCAGGUGGUAACAUCAAUCUAUAAGCAACCGGUCCGACACGUUCUAUAAUCUCAUACGGUCUAAUGAAUCUUGGACUCAAUUUGCCUUUACGACCGAAUCUGAGUACUUUCUUCCACGGUGAGACUUUCAAAAACACUUUAUCGCCGAUCUGAAAUUCUAUAUCUUUUCUUCUCAAAUCCGCAUAAGAUUUCUGACGAUCUGAUGCUGAUUUCAGGCUGUCCCGAAUCACUUUCACUUUCUGUUCGGUCUCUUUAAUCAAAUCAACCCCGUGUAUCCUAUUUUCACUGAGCUCGGUCCAAUACAGUGGUGUACGACAUUUACGACCGUACAAAGCCUCAUAAGGUGCCAUUUUAAUACUAGAUUGAAAGCUGUUAUUAUAAGAAAAUUCAAUCAAAGGUAAAUAUCGUUCCCACGUACCUUCAAACUCGAGAAUGCAACAUCUCAACAUGUCCUCAAGUAUCUGUAUAAUUCGCUCCGAUUGACCAUCUGUUUGCGGAUGGAAAGCUGUGCUAAAAUGUAGUUUCGUACCUAAUGCAUCUUGUAAUUUCUUCCAAAACCGCGAUGUAAAUCUCGGGUCUCUGUCCGAAAUAAUAGAAAUAGGCACUCCGUGCAAUUUUACAAUCUGAGAAAUGUACAAUUCAGCAAGUUUAUCAAGCGAAUAAUCAAUAUGAACCGGAAUAAAGUGAGCCGAUUUUGUCAAUUUAUCAACAACAACCCAAAUUGCAUCUUUCUUGCUGGGUGUUAACGGUAAACCGGAUACAAAAUCCAUCAUAACUCUGUCCCAUUUCCAUUCAGGUAUCAUGAUCGGCUGCAGCAAUCCAGAAGGUACCUGAUGCUCGGCUUUUACUUGCUGACAUAUUAAACAUUUCGAAACAAAGUCAGAAAUGUCUCGUUUCAUUCCAUGCCACCAAUAGUGUUGUUUCAGAUCAUUAUACAUUUUCAUGCUACCCGGAUGAAUAGAAAAUCGACUAUUAUGGGCUUCAUUCAAAAUCAUCUGAAUUAACUCUGGAUUUUUCGGAACACAUAAUCGGUUUCUGAAUCUCAAACAAUCCUCAGUAUCAACUAGAAACUCUGAAUCAACAUUUAAGUCACACUGAGUUCGUUUUGCAAUUAAAUCAUCAUCGGCUUUUUGAGCUUCACAAAUCUGUUGAACAAAUAACGGUUUUGCUUUCAACUCAGCUACUAUCGCACCAUCAUCAGACAUAACCAUAUGUGCAUUCAUUGCACGCAAAGCAAACAGUGAUUUUCGACUUAGGGCAUCAGCAACAACAUUAGCCUUUCCCGGAUGAUAGUCAAUCACGAGCUCGUAAUCUUUCAACAAUUCUAACCAUCGACGCUGUCUCAAAUUCAGAUCUUUCUGAGUCAUCAAAUAUUUCAAACUUUUAUGAUCGGAAUAAACAUGACAUCUUUCGCCAAACAGAUAGUGACGCCAUAUUUUUAACGCAAAUACAAUAGCGGCCAAUUCCAGAUCAUGCGUCGGAUAGUUCUUUUCAUGCGGCUUUAACUGUCUCGAGGCAUAGGCUACAACUUUGCCUUCCUGCAUCAAUACACAGCCCAAACCAUUUAAAGAUGCAUCACUAUAGAUAACAAACUCUUUACCCGAUUCGGGUUGAACUAGGACUGGAGCUUUGGUUAAAAGAGCUUUCAACUGAUCGAAACUUUUCUGGCACUUUUCUGACCACUCAAACUUAACGUCUUUUUGUAGUAACCUUGUCAUCGGGGUCGCAAUCAUAGAGAACCCUUUCACAAAACGUCUAUAAUAGCCAGCGAGCCCCAGAAAGCUUCGAACUUCCGAAACAUUCCUCGGAGGUUUCCAAUCAAGUAUAGCUGAAAUUUUACUCGGAUCAACCCAAAUACCCGAUGCUGAUACAACAUGGCCCAGAAAACUGACUUCACGUAACCAGAACUCACAUUUACUAAACUUUGCAUACAACUGCUUAUCUCGCAAAGUUUGUAACACAAGUCUCAGAUGUUCAGCAUGCUCAUUUUCGUCUCGAGAGUAGAUCAAAAUGUCAUCAAUAAAUACUACCACAAACCGAUCCAGAUACUUCCUAAAGAUCCGAUUCAUCAAGUCCAUGAAAAUAGCAGGUGCAUUAGUAAGUCCGAAAGGCAUAACAAGAAACUCAUAAUGUCCGUACCUCGUUCGGAAAGCAGUCUUUGGCACAUCAGAGUCUUUAACUCGCAACUGAUAGUAGCCUGAUCUCAGAUCUAUCUUUGAAAACACAGUAGCCCCUUUCAACUGAUCGAACAAAUCAUCAAUCCGUGGUAACGGAUACUUAUUCUUUAUAGUCACUUUAUUGAGUUACCGGUAAUCAAUGCACAUUCUCAUCGUUCCAUCUUUCUUUCUCACAAAUAGAACUGGUGCACCCCAAGGAGAGAAACUCGGUCGUGCAAAACCUUUAUCAGUCGGCUCUUGCAACUGUACUUUCAAUUCUUUUAAUUCGGUCGGUGCCAUACGGUACGGAGCUAUCGAUAUGGGAGUCGUCCCUGGUACUAACUCAAUACCAAACUCUACCUCUCGAAUAGGUGGCAAACCCGGUAAUUCUUCGGGAAACACGUCUGAAUACUCACACACUACUGGUACAGAUUCAAUCUUCUUUUCGGUCACUUUACUAUCAAGAACAAAUGCAAGGUAAGCUUCACAACCCCUUCUCACAUACUUCUGAGCCGACAUCGAGGAUAUUAUUGCUGAUAAACCAUUCAGAUCAUUAGAUUCGAUCCGAAUAAUCUCAUCAUUCUGACACCGUAGAUCAAUAGUUUUCCGUUUGCAGUUUACAAUAGCAUCAUGCAGAGUUAACCAAUCCAUACCCAGAAUUAUAUCGAACUCGUCGAAUGGUAACAACAUCAAAUCAGCUGGAAAACAUAAAUCUCGAAUCAUCAACGGACAAUUCUUGCACACUUUGUCAACCAAAACACACCGGCCCAGGGGGUUCGAUACUUUAAUUACAAACUCAGUAGACUCAACAGGCAAAGUCUUACUGAAUACUAAAGUCUCACACACAUAAGAAUGAGUCGAACCAGGAUCAAUCAAUGCAAUAACAUUAGUAUCAUAAAGAGUGAAAGUACCAGUAAUAACAUCUGGAGAAGAAGCCUCCUCUCGAGCACGGAUGGCAUAAGCUCUGGCAGGUGCACGGGCCUCAGAUCGAAUUGCUGUAUCCCUGGUUCCUCUCUGACUACCACUUACAUUACUCAAUUGUCUCGGCGGUCUACCUCGGACUGGCACAUUACUCGGUCUGGUAUCCUGCACAGUGUUUUGCUCAGCUACCAUCGGACACUCUCGAAUGAAAUGAUCUUUUGAACCACACUUGAAGCAAGACCGAUCAUGGAAUCUGCAAUCCCCAGGAUGCCAUUUCCCACAAUGCUUGCACUCUGAUCUAUUUUGUCGAACACUACCAACGCUAGCAACUGAAGUAGCUCGUGAACUCACAGGGGGUCGAUCUCGAUCAUACUUAGGAAACCCUGCAGUAGCUUUAGAUUGGCUAUGAUCCGCUCUGAAUUUCCUUGAGGUCGACUGAAAUGAUUUACUGAAUGAUCUUUUACGAGAAUCUCGAGCUUCAUAGUCAGCUUUCCUCUUCUCUUUCCCGAGCUCCUCAGCUUUACAAGCUCGUUCCACAAGUACUACGAACUCUUUUAUCUCAAGUAUACCAACUAACAGUUUAAUAUCUUCGUUCAGCCCAUCUUCAAAUCUUCUACACAUGAUAGCUUCAGUUGAAACACACUCUCGAGCAUAUCUACUAAGUCUCACAAAUUUCCGUUCAUAUUCUGUCACUGUCAUACGACCCUGUUUCAGUUCAAGAAAUUCCUUACGUUUCUGAUCAAUAAAUCUCUGGCUGAUGUAUUUUUUACGAAACUCAGUCUGAAAGAAUUCCCAGGUCACUCGCUCUUUCGGAACCACCGAUGCUAGUGUAUUCCACCAGUGAUAUGCAGUGUCCCGUAGCAAGGAUAUGGCACAUUUCAAGCACUCAUCAGGGGUGCAAGACAACUCAUCAAACACUCGAAUAGUAUUAUCAAGCCAGAAUUCAGCUCGCUCAGCAUCAUCAUCAUCAGUAGCUCUGAACUCUUCGGCCCCGUGUUUUCGAAUUUUGUCAACCGGAGGCUUAAGUAAUCUCAUCGGAUCACUUACUUGGGGUAUAACAGGAAUCGAAGAUGGAUUAGUCGGGGGUGGAGGUUGUUGUGUAACCGGAUUAGUUCGGACAUAAUGAGUAAACCAGUCAUUCAUCAUUUGGUAGAAGGCUUGUUUAGCCUCUCCCUCCUGGUUACUCGAGGUCGGUCGAGAAUCUACCGGCUCUGUCCCUUGUGCGGGAGCAGGCGCUAUACUCUCAACAUCAUCGGCUACGGCUCGAUCGGGAUCCAUUACUAUACGAAAACACAUUUUUAGACAUCAGCAGUCAUCACACUAUCUCGAUAUAAAAAUUAUGGCAUGUAUAGCUAGACUCAUACAUGCUACGUUAGUCCAAGAAUCGACUAAACCUGGCUCUGAUACCAAUAAAAUGUAACACCCCUAACCCGUCUCCGUCGCCGAAUCAGGGUUACGAGGCAUUACGAAACCAAGCUCACAUAAACAUAACUUUAAUAUCUAAUUCCAAAUACAAGUCCAAUUCAUGAACAUAUAUAAUCAAAUUCAAGCAUGGAAACUAAACUCUUUUCACAUUGCUAUUUACACAAUAGGAUUCAAAACUAACCAAAACAUUAUCAAGCCUAUACAUGCCAUAAGAUCGAGUUCAAAUAUUUAACAAAAUACCAAAAGAAGUUGAUAGUGUGAUGGACUGUGCUGAUGAUCCCCGAGCUCGUAACGCGUCUCCAAAUCUAUAAAAACGAAUGAACGAAAGCAAACGAAGUAAGCUUUUAUAGCUUAGUAAGUCUCCAGCAUAACUAAAUGUAUAAUUAUAAACACAUAAUUAUUAUAACCUUUUUAAUCUAUUCUACUGAAAUUUUAACUAACACAACCAACUAACAUUCAUACAUUAUUCUACUCAGACCAUUUCAUUUAUAGUCAGAUAUGUAUACCUGUCGGAUGAAUUCAGUUUAAUAUAUAUAUUAUACAAAACAACAUUACAAUUGAAUGUAUACCACCGAGCAUAUAUAUACAUAUUAUAUACAUAUCAAACCGAUUGUAUAUGUACACUCAUGGUAAGUUCUAAAUCAAUUCAAAUCUAACACAAAUAUAUAUACAUCAAUCACAUCUUAUAUUUGUUUGUAUAUAAAUAUACUCAUUAUGAAUUUAUACCUGAAUACCUAGGUAACACAUACAUUCGAAAUAUACACAUAUAUAUAUCUCAAAUGCAUACAUGAUUAAUUAUCAAACACAUAGGCUCAACAUAUAUAUGUUUAACUACCACAUAUCACCAUAUGCAUUUAUAAAUUCAGCAAUCACAUAUAUCUAAUGUACAUAUGUAUUCAUCGAUUUCAUAAAAUCACAAAUCAUAGAUAUAUCCAUUGCAUAUUCUAACACAAUUUAAACAGAUUCACCGGCAUUUUGCCUGCUAGGCUUAAAGCCUGAUUCAGUACACCGGCACUUAGCCUGCUAGACAUAUAGUCUGAAAUGUAUCACCGGCAUUAAGCCUGCUAGACAUAUAGUCUGAAAUGUAUCACCGGCAUUAAGCCUGCUAGACUUAAAGUUUGAAAUGUAUCACCGGCAUUAAGCCUGCUAGACUUAAAGUCUGAAAUGUAUCACCGGCAUUAAGCCUGCUAGACUUAAAGUCUGAAUUACUUCACCGGCAUUAAGCCUGCUAGACGUAACGUCUGUAUUACAUUCAAUCACUUUAUAAUAAUUCAAACUAACAAUUUCAUAUCUUCACUACCAUUCAAAAACUUUUACGUGAAUAUACAUACAAAAUCGAAACUUUCACAUACAUAUAUAAUUCCAUACCAAAUUUCGAUUCAAGAAUUUAUACAUGUGCAUUUAUACAUAUUCGAAUCUACCAUAUGAAUGUAUAAUUUCAUACUCAAUUUCAAAACAAAAACUUGUACAUAUAUAAAUGCACAAUCAAUCCUCGCAUACUUAUAUAAUGACAUAACUAAAUUCAAUACACAACACAUACAUGUAUACUUGCAUGCUUAUUCGACUUUAUAUAUAUAUAUGCAUACUUAUAUAAUCAUUCAAACCAUAUAUAUAUAUAUAUACCUAUAUCUUAUACAUACCUUUGAUUAAUCCAAUAAUUUAUACAAGAUCAUACUUGUAUAUUCGAACAUGUUAUAUACAAUAUCUAUAGUCCAAAGUUUAUUCAACUAUUAUACUUUAAAUUAUAGCUCAAUCAUAAGAUAAAAUUAGUAUGCAUGUAUAAAUAUUAACUUAAUAACUUUUAGUUGCUAAUAGACUUACCUCGGAUAUCAGCAAACACGAUCGACUAUUCGAUUUCCUUCGACUUCCCCCGAUCCAAAUUCGUUUUCUUCGUUCCUUGAUCUAAACAUAGUCAAAUUUAACCUUUUUAUUCAUCAAAACAUUCAUUUGAGUCCAAAAAUACAUAAAUGGGAAAAUUACCAUUUUGCCCCUAACAUUUUGCACUUUUUUGCAAUUUAGUCAUUUUUGCACAAAACACAAAAUACACAAAAUUUGCCCUUAACACACAAGGGCCGAAUAUUCAUGGUUCUCAUACAAGUCCACACAUUGCAUUUAUUUCACAUUUUAGUCCCUCAAAAAUUUAUUUUCACAAUUUAGCCCUAAAUACUCAAAUUCAUCAAAAAUCCCAAGACAAAACAUGUUAAUCUAAGACAUAUCUUCCAUUAUUCAUCAUCAAACAUCACAAAACACAAAUAUUCAUCAAUGACAUAACUCAAAAUAUUCAUUAAAAUUAGAAAUUCAAGCAUGGGUCGGGUAGUAUUCAAAGCAACGAUCUCAAAAACGUAAAAAUUAUCAAAAACCGAAACCAAAGCAUACCUUAAUUUUGCUAUGAAAGUGCCGAAACUUAAGAAACCAUGGAUGGUUUCUUCCUUUCCAAUAUUCGGCUAACAAAGAUGAACAUAUUCAUCUUUUUAUGACUUAUUUUAGUUAUAAUAUUAUAAUUUACUUAAUGACUAAAUUAACCUUAAUUAAAUAAAUUAUAAAUUACAUAACUUAAGGGCAAUGUUGGCAUAUACCACCCACUAACUAAAUCUUGGUCUAAUUACAUCUUUAGACCUCCCACUUAAAAAGACAACUACAAAUAGGUGCUUUUAAAUUUUAACCUUUAACUUUUAUUUUACGCGAUUAAACCCUUUUAUUAAAUCGGACACUUAAACGACGAAAUUAAAACACGAAAAUUUUACACAAUCAAAUGCACACGAAAUAAACACACAAAAUAAUAUUAAUAAUAUUUUUCUAAUUCAGAUUUGUGGUCCCGAAACCACUAUUCUGAUUAGGGUCAAAACCGGGUUGUUACAUACACUAGGGUAUUUGCUGGGGCAAAACCCGAUGGGUAGACAGGGUCUUCACUGUCUCCCCAGAGUUGACCAUAGGGCUCUUCCCUUUUCCUGGCCCUCUGAGAAGUAACUGAGUUAGUUGAUUCAUCAUUUCUUCUGCGAUUCUAGCAUCUAAUCUUUCAUAUCCUGCUGAAUCUUGGCUAGUUGCUCCUGCAUCUGUGCUUGCAGCCGCUCCUGCAUUUCUUUCUGCAUUUGUUCCAGUUUUUCUAGCUUUUGAUCCAUAACUUUAGUGUUUCUCAGUGUGUAGUAGUGAUGUUCCAGGGUAACUAUAACACGAUUUCUAAUUAAUUAAGGUUCUUUUAUGAAGUUUAAUGCACAUGAUGCAAUGCAAUGCAAAUGCAUGGAAUGAAUGCAAAAGAAAGUAAGGCGUUGAUUCUGAAUUUAAUUCUAUUAGAAUAACUUUUCUAGAAAACAAAUUCCUUAACAUAAAAUAGAUUACAUAUGCGACUUUGCCCUCAUAAUCCAGGCGAUCCCUUUUUCUGUAAAAGUCAAACCAUGCAAACUUCCAAUAGAUGCCUCCACUAGCUCCUUUUUGCUUAAUCCAGACCGCGACUUAUUAUUCACUUAUCCUCGUAAUGCUUGUUAGCUCCUUUAGGAAAGUCGGGACGUGACGACUCUCGAAUAAUCUUUAUUGACUUGAAACCUCACGUAAAGUCUUGUUUUCCUCUACGAACUAUCAACCUUCUUCCGUUGUGUUUACUUAGACUAUAUUCAGACAACCGUAUUAUAAUCUACUUUAUCAAUAAAUUCAUUUUCUUAUGACAAACUGUUCUAUUUAGUAAUCAAAUAUGAAUCAACACCUCCUUUCUAUGAUGAUGUAAUGCAAUGCAGUCAUAAACAAAACAAAACACGUUAGCACAAGAGGAAAAAAAACAAUAUAUGACACUUACUUGGGUAACCGCUAGGGUUUGGAGAAGCUCUACCUAGGAUUGGACUCUUAAGGCUUGCUAUGUACAGUUUGGUUCUAGAGAAAGGGUACCUGAACUAGCAGAUUCCUCAAUCCUCACCCAUUAUAGGCUCAUAUGGAUCGAGUUCAGUUCAGAGGAAUACAUUUCCCUAUGGCCAUGCGAAGGUGAAAACCUCACGAAGACAUAGGUACAGAUGUAUCCCAGAAGCAGUCCACUAGCCCAUACAGAGGUAAAAACCUCACGAAUGUAUAGUUUCUCAAUCCCACUUAGAAGGUGUGACCACAACGGUCAUGCAAUAUGAUGCAAGAAUAUCCUACGUAUCUCAAAUCACAAGAAACAUAUGACAUGACACCAAAAAAUGCGACAAAAGAAGCAUGAUUUUUCAAAUCAAAUUUUUAAUUUUUUGACAAAAGGACAGAAAAUAAUCAAUUUUACGGCUUGACUCUCUUAUUGGUCCCCAGUGGAGUCGCCAAGCUGUCGAAACCAUUUUUAUUUUGAAAAACGGGGGUUGACUUUAAAACGAAAAAAAUGGAGUCGCCACUAAUCCUUUUUGUUUAGGUGUGAUCAGGUCACCCUGUGAUCGAUCAUUUUAAUAAAGCAUAUUGGUUUAUUAAAACAACGCUUUUGGUCUACGAAAAACUAGAAAACGGAUUCGGGAGUCGGUUACGCGCGAGUAAGGGUUAGCACCCUCGCAACGCCCAAAAUUGGUACCGUAUUGAUCAAUUAUCGUCCUAAUGCCAAAAAUUUGAAAAAGAUUUUAAAAUAAAAUCUUUAAAGAUGUUUGGAAAUCUUGAAUUAGAUAUUGAGAUUCUCUCGUUCAGAAGGAAUAAAAUAUCAUAUCCAGCACGAUAGGACACAACAAUUCAAACCCUCAAUACAAGAUUAUCUCAUUCUUCCCAAAACUCAUGCAUUUGAAAAAUUAGAAGGAUAUUUGGUUCUUUGGUAAAACGAUGAACCGAAACUCAGCACGAUUGGGCACGAUCUCUCGAGUUUCCAAACACAAAAUAUUUCCUCAUUUUAAUUUUAAAAAAUCAUGAAUGAAAUUUCAAAAGGAUAUUCCGCAUUUUAGUUGAACGAAAAAACUGAAACCCAGCAUGAUAGGGCACGAUCCCUCGAACUCCUAAACACAAAAUAUUUCCUUAUGUUGAGAGGGUUCAAAUUAACAAUUAUGAAAACCGAGUCAAGAUAUACUUGUUUGGUUUGUUUGGAGAUAAAAGACAAUUGAUAUUUAGAGAAUAUGGGAAUCAUAACCAUGAUGCAAUAACAAGAAAUAAACCAUCAUUACAUGCAUGAAACAAUAAUAUGCGAAUAUGAAUACCGAUAACGACACAUGAUAUGCAAGACCGUACGAAAACUAAGUAUCAAUGUGAUAUAAACAAUUUAAAGACUAUUAAAUAUGUACAGAAGGAUGACACAUGCUAGAAUUCGAAAUAACUUAUAUGCAUAUAAAAACUAACGGUAUAUGAAUGAUUAUUUAAAAUAUACAUUAUGUAAGAAGAAAUUUGAAAUAAAUAAUAUAUAACAUAACUUCAAAUAAAACAAAUUGAUUUAACAAAUGAUAUACAUAUUUAUAUGAAAAUGAAAAAAAAUAAAUGAAAAUAACGUAUAUACAAAGAUACCAAAAUAAUUAAAAUAAAUAAAAAUGCAAUUUAAAACAGGAUCCUCAAAAGAAAGCCAAAUUAUAUAUGAAUAAUUUUAAAGAAAAUAUAUAUAUAAUAAAUUUAGAAGAAAAUAUUUACAUAACAGAUUUGAAAAGAAAACAUAUAUAUUAAAUAGAUUUAAAAGAAACUAUAAAAAUAAAAUAACAUAGAAUUAACAAUGUAUAUGAAAUAAAACUAAUUUCAUCAUAAUUAUAUAUGUAUAAUAAUAAUAUAUAAAAGUAUUUUAAUUAAAUAUAACUUAAAAACUUCUAAACUACAUUAUAUAAAAGAACUUUAAUAUAAUAACUAUAUAAUAAAACAAACAAAAACAUAAAAACAGCAUGCUACGACAACGUAAAAUUAACAAACAGUUUAUGACAUAACAGGUUUAAAAACAAAAUAAAAAGAAUAAAGAACUACAAAAACUAAAAUGCUCAAUUAAGGUAAAUGCAAACUAAAGGGGUUAUUAACAAAUAAAACCAACUAUUGGGACGAAAUCAGGGACUAAAACUCAAUGUCCGUCAAUCAUGAAGGGCUAAAAAAACAAUAAACCAAAUCCCCAAAACGCAGCACUUAAGUAUGGGUUAAAUUAAAAUAACAUGAAAAUUCCAGGGAUAAAUUUAAAAAAGCCAAAGAAAACAUAAAUGGGCUCGAUUGAAUGCUGAUGCGAAGGAGGGGGACUUAUUGCGCAAAUUACCCAUCUAAAGGGAAAAUCCGCGUCGACCAAGUCAAACACGCGUACUGACUCUACCCCCCCCCCCAAUGCUGUCUUAUUUUAUUACCUAAAAUUAAAACCUGCUUUAAAAUCAUUUUUUGCUUAAAAAAAACAUUUUAACUUUGAUUUUGUUUAAAAAAAACCCUAAAGUUUUGAGAUUCCCUCACUCUCGCCUCCGCUCUUCGCCGAAAGGCCUAUGCCCAAGCCUUCAACCGCCCCAAAAGCCCUUGCGAUCAGCGAAGCAGGGUCCUCCGAUGGUGUGAGCACAAUGCGCGGUGAGUCCCUCUCUUUCUCUCCUAUCUUUAGUUCGUGUUGUGGAUCCAAAUGGGAAAGGAAAAAAAUGGAAAAAGAAGAAACAAAAUAAAGCUGCAGUAGAUAAUCACCUUUGAAAAUAUUCUUUGGUUGUUUUCUAUUGAUUUUUGUGUGUAUUUUGUAUACAAUCGGUAACCUAUUUCUCUGACAAAAAAGAAGAAAACCACCCCCCUUUUACAAUGAAAGAUUGAAGGCUUUAUAGCCAAAUACAAUACAGUUUCUACCUAUUUCUUUGCUCAAAUUGCAGGUACUGUGAUGUUGUAGAGGAGUGCAUGAUCGUGGGGCGUGGACGUGCGAGCUAGGGGUCGUGCGUGGGCGUGUCGAUGUGCGUGGUGGAGAGGCGUAGAACGUGGGGGCUACAGCGCAAGGAGAAAGAAGGGUUUGUUGUUUCUGAAAAAAAAAAUUUGGGUCAUUGGGCUUGUGUAGUUGGGUAUUAGGCCAUUGUAAAAUUUUGGGCCUUGGAUUUAUUUUGUAUGUUUUGGGUUUGUUGGGCCCGGGCGAAAAUUAGGCCCUACAAAUUAUAUUUAGUUAAUUAAAAAUUAAUUAAUUUACUUGGCUGGACAUCCACAUUUGCCUCUAAAAUCUAUUUUAACUGUUACGUCAGACUGUCGUAUGGGAAGUAAUAGAUCUUAACGGCAACGUGACCAUUUUGUAACAAAACGUUAACGUAAGUAAUUAAAAUGUAACAUUUCAAACAUAAAUAACUAAAAUAUAACCUAAAGCAAAUAAAAAUGACUAUUUUAAUAAUUUACUCUAAAUAUUAAGCCUUCAGAGUUUGUGAACUCUUAUUUAGAAAAUUAAUUAAUUAAUUAAAAUAAAAUUAUACAUGAAAAAAUAUGAUAUAAAAAACAUAUUCACUAAAAGUUUAUAUAUAAACCAAAUGAAAUUUUAGUUAAAG
rnacentral:lncRNA from 1 species